rnacentral:rRNA from 1 species
AUUGAACGCUGGCGGCAUGCCUUACACAUGCAAGUCGAACGGCAGCAUGGGUGCUUGCACCUGAUGGCGAGUGGCGAACGGGUGAGUAAUGCAUCGGAACGUACCCGGAAGUGGGGGAUAACGUAGCGAAAGUUACGCUAAUACCGCAUAUUCUGUGAGCAGGAAAGCGGGGGAUCGCAAGACCUCGCGCUUCCGGAGCGGCCGAUGUCGGAUUAGCUAGUUGGCGGGGUAAAGGCCCACCAAGGCGACGAUCUGUAGCUGGUCUGAGAGGACGACCAGCCACACUGGAACUGAGACACGGUCCAGACUCCUACGGAAGGCAGCAGUGGGGAAUUUUGGACAAUGGGCGAAAGCCUGAUCCAGCAAUGCCGCGUGCAGGACGAAGGCCUUCGGGUUGUAAACUGCUUUUGUACGGAACGAAACGGCCUCUUCUAAUAAAGGGGGCUAAUGACGGUACCGUAAGAAUAAGCACCGGCUAACUACGUG